rnacentral:tRNA from 1 species
UCGGGGGUGGUGUAAACGGCAACACGACAGGUUCUGGCCCUGUUGUUGAGGGUUCGAGUCCUUCCCCCCGAG